rnacentral:rRNA from 1 species
UACGUAGGGCGCAAGCGUUGUCCGGAAUUAUUGGGCGUAAAGAGCUCGUAGGCGGCUUGUCACGUCGGCUGUGAAAUCCCGAGGCUCAACCUCGGGUCUGCAGUCGAUACGGGCAAACUGGAGUGUUGCAGGGGAGACUGGAAUUCCUGGUGUAGCGGUGAAAUGCGCAGAUAUCAGGAGGAACACCGGUGGCGAAGGCGGGUCUCUGGGCAACAACUGACGCUGAGGAGCGAAAGCGUGGGGAGCGAACAGG